rnacentral:rRNA from 1 species
AGUCGAACGAUGAAGAAAAGAAUUGAAGCUUCGGCAGAAAUUCAUUUCGGAUUAGUGGCAGACGGGUGAGUAACGCGUGAGCAACCUACCUCUUACAAAGGGAUAGCCUCGGGAAACCGGGAUUAAUACCAUAUAACAUUGCGACGAAGCAUUUCGAUGCAAUCAAAGCUACGGCGGUAAGAGAUGGGCUCGCGUCCCAUUAACCAGAUGGUGAGGUAACGGCUCACCAUAGUAACGAUGGGUAACCGGCCUGAGAGGGUGAACGGUCACACUGGAACUGAGACACGGUCCAGACUCCUACGGGAGGCAGCAGUGGGGAAUAUUGCACAAUGGAGGGAACUCUGAUGCAGCGACGCCGCGUGAGUGAUGAAGGAAUUCGUUUCGUAAAACUCUGUUCUAUGGGAAGAAAGGGACUGUACCAUAGGAGAAAGCUCCGGCUAAAUACGUGCCAGCAGCCGCGGUAAUACGUAUGGAGCGAGCGUUGUCCGGAAUUAUUGGGCGUAAAGGGUGCGCAGGCGGCUUUACAAGUUGGAUGUGAAAUAUUGUGGCUCAACCACAAACGUGCAUCCAAAACUGCAAAGCUUGAGUUAAGGAGAGGUAAGUGGAAUUCCUGGUGUAGCGGUGGAAUGCGUAGAUAUCAGGAGGAAUACCGGUGGCGAAGGCGACUUACUGGACUUAAACUGACGCUCAGGCACGAAAGCGUGGGGAGCAAACAGGAUUAGAUACCCUGGUAGUCCACGCCGUAAACGAUGAGUGCUAGGUGUUGGGGGUCAAACCUCGGUGCCGCAAGCAAACGCAAUAAGCACUCCGCCUGGGGAGUACGUGCACAAGCAUGAAACUCAAAGG